rnacentral:rRNA from 1 species
GCGCGAAAGCGUGGGGAGCAAACAGGAAAAGAGCCCUGGUAGUCCACGCUGUAAACGAUGAAUACUAGGUGUGGGGGGACUGACCCCCUCCGUGCCGCAGUUAACACAAUAAGUAUUCCACCUGGGGAGUACGAUCGCAAGAUUGAGACUCAAAGGAAUUGACGGGGGCCCGCACAAGCAGUGGAUUAUGUGGUUUAAUUCGACGCAACGCGAAGAACCUUACCGGGAUUUGACAUCCUACUAACGAAGUAGAGAUACAUUAGGUGCCCUUCGGGGAAAGUAGAGACAGGUGGUGCAUGGUUGUCGUCAGCUCGUGUCGUGAGAUGUUGGGUUAAGUCCCGCAACGAGCGCAACCCCUAUUGUUAGUUGCUACGCAAGAGCACUCUAGCGAGACUGCCGUUGACAAAACGGAGGAAGGCGGGGACGACGUCAAAUCAUCAUGCCCCUUAUGUCCCGGGCUACACACGUAAUACAAUGGCGGUCAACAGAGGGAAGCGAAGCCGCGAGGCAGAGCAAAUCCCCAAAAGCCGUCUCAGUUCGGAUUGCAGGCUGCAACUCGCCUGCAUGAAGUUGGAAUUGCUAGUAAUCGUGGAUCAGCAUGCCACGGUGAAUACGUUCCCGGGCCUUGUACACACCGCCCGUCACACCAUGAGAGUCGGGAACACCCGAAGUCCGUAGUCUAACCGCAAGGAGGGCGCGGCCGAAGGUGGGUCUGAUAAUUGGGGUGAAGUCGUAACAAGGUAACC